rnacentral:rRNA from 1 species
UACGUAGGGUGCAGGCGUUAAUCGGAAUUACUGGGCGUAAAGCGUGCGCAGGCGGUUUGUUAAGACAGGUGUGAAAUCCCCGGGCUUAACCUGGGAACUGCGCUUGUUACUGGCAGACUUGAGUGUGGCAGAGGGGGGGGUGGAAUUCCAGGUGUAGCAGUGAAAUGCGUAGAGAUCGGGAGGAACACCAGUGGCGAAGGCGGUUCUCUGGGCCUUACCUGACGCUGAGGAGCGAAAGCGUGGGGAGCGAACAGG